GAUGAAGAACGUAGCGAAAUGCGAUAAGUAAUGUGAAUUGCAGAAUUCAGUGAAUCAUCGAAUCUUUGAACGCACAUUGCGCCCGCCAGUAUUCUGGCGGGCAUGCCUGUCUGAGCGUCAUUUCAACCCUCAUGCCCCUAGGGUGUGGUGUUGGGGAUCGGCCAAAGCCCGCGAGGGACGGCCGGCCCCUAAAUCUAGUGGCGGACCCGUCGUGGCCUCCUCUGCGAAGUAGUGAUAUUCCGCAUCGGAGAGCGAUGAGCCCCUGCCGUUAAACCCCCAACUUUCCAAGGUUGACCUCAGAUCAGGUAGGAAUACCCGCUGAACUUAAGCAUAUCAAUAAGCGGAGGA
rnacentral:misc_RNA from 1 species